rnacentral:lncRNA from 1 species
UUGAAUUUUAUUUAGUGUUUGCUUGAGUGAGAAGAUUGGAAAGUUGUCAAUUUGAAUUGGAAAAAUUGUUAGGAUUUGGUUAGAUUUGUAGUUGAAUCCUAUUUAGAUAAGAAUUAAUAUUUAAAUCUGUUGAAGUAAAUUAAGAUUUAAAUAUUAAUUAGAGGAUAAACCUAACUAGAUUAGGAUUAAUAUUUAAAUCUAUUAGAGAUUGAUUAAGAUAAAUUUAGAUAUUAAUUGGAGUAGAAAUCCUAAAUAUAUUAGGAUUGGGGUACGUUUUAGUGGAGCCUUAUAAAUAGCUCUUUGUAGGUUUGCUUUUGAUGUGAAGUACGGGAGAGAGAGAGAGAGUCUCUUGGGUUGCCGUACCAGAGAGAGAGAGUUAUUUAAUUAUGCUUUGAGUGCACCUAGUGCACGGGUGCAUGUGAAGGAUUGUCUUCUUUAUGGGUUUAUAGAAGAUGAGAGAAGGGUAGAAGAGAUUCAGAAAGAGGGCUCGGGUUGUAGCUACUUUGUGGAGAAGAGGAGUCGGGUAUAAUCUUCUCUUAUUUAAUGAAUCUUAUUUUACCUGCAUAUUUUCCUCUUUUAUGAUUGUAUCAGCUUUUGUUGAGAAGACGGGUUUAUGGUAAAAACCCGAUUUGACGUUUCCGUUGCGGAAUCCCAACAAUCGAUACAGGAUCCACAGCAGUCGGUAUCAGAGCGGGUUGCGGAUUCACGAGAUCCGGUACCGGGGCGAGUACCGGAUUCCCAACAAGUGGUAUCAGAGCCGAAGGUUACCGAUCUGAGGGAGAGAUCGACGAAGAUGGCCACGAAAUUCGAAAUCGAGAAGUUCGACGGCAAGAACAAUUUCGGAUUGUGGCAAAUUAAAGUACGGGCGAUCCUCGUACAGCAAGAGUUAGAUGAAACGUUGAACGGAAAAGAGGCGAAGCCGGCGGAGGUCACGGAUACGGCAUGGACGAAGAUGGAGCGGAAGGCGCUGAGUACGCUUCAUCUAUUAUUAGCAGAUGAGGUUCUUUACAACGUAGCCAGUGAGACGACACCAGCGAAGUUGUGGAAGAAACUAGAAGAUCUAUAUAUGACCAAGUCUUUGACGAACAGGUUAUAUUUGAAGCAGUGAUUGUUUACGCUGCGGAUGCAGGAAGCGGCGAGCCUACAUGAUCAUCUGAACUAGUUCAACAAGGUGGUGGCCCAGUUGACUAGCAUCGGAGUCAAUCUAGAUGAUGAAGAUAAGGCGCUGAUUUUAUUAUCUUCGCUACUGACGAUAUAUGAGCAUCUGGUGACCACGUUGCUUUAUGGCAAAGAGUCCAUAAGCGUGGAGGCGGUCACGGCGGCGCUUCUCUCGAACGAGAUGCGGAAGAUGACUCAGGAGUCCGGCACGCAAAGUCAGGAUGUAGGACUGGUGGUGACUGCGAAGAAGGAGGCGAGAAUAUCGGCGAUCGGAUAUCAACAGAAAAAACCGCUAUUUGAGGUAGAAUGCUUUUACUGUCACAGGAAGGGGCAUAUCAAGCGCAAUUGUCGAAAACUUCAGGAUGAUCUGAAGGAGUUAAAGCGACAGAAGGAGCAAACAGUCGUGAACCAGGACGAGACGGUAUCAGCGACGGCCCAGACAGCAGAGUCGGAGAUGAUCGAUUCUGAUGUGCUGUAUGCUGCGACCGGAGGUGCGAAAAUUUCGGACGAUGCGUGGAUGCUCGAUUCGGCGUGUUCUUUUCACGUUUGCCCGGAGAAGGAGUCUUUUGCCACCUAUAAGGCGAUCAAAGGUGGAAAGGCGCUGAUGGGGAACGGGACAGCGUGCAAAGUUUUGGGAGUCGGCACGGUGAAAAUCCGAAUGCACGAUGGGGUCGUGAGGACGCUGACAGGUGUGCGGCAUGUUCCUGGAUUGAAGCGAAAUUUGAUCUCGUUAGGGGCGUGGGUUGCGAUAUUUCAGCUUCAGGUGGAGCUAUGAGGGUCCGAAAACGAGAUCGGAUCGUGUGCGAGGCGAACAAGCGUGGGAACUUAUACGUUCUGAACGGAAGCACAGUCAGAAUGGGAGCGAAAACGGUUUGGGUUCCAAAAGUUCGCGGAUGUGCAGUUGCUCGAGACGGAGCGACGAAUGCGGCGACAUCGAGCGGAGGAGACAAGCUCAAGGUGGAGUUUGCAUGGUGAGCUCGACGUAGUGGUUGAAAAUUACAAAUCAAACCAAGGUGGAGAAUGUUAGGAUUUGGUUAGAUUUGUAGUUGAAUCCUAUUUAGAUAAGAAUUAAUAUUUAAAUCUGUUGAAGUAAAUUAAGAUUUAAAUAUUAAUUAGAGGAUAAACCUAACUAGAUUAGGAUUAAUAUUUAAAUCUAUUAGAGAUUGAUUAAGAUAGAUUUAGAUAUUAAUUGGAGUAGAAAUCCUAAAUAUAUUAGGAUUGGGGUACGUUUUAGUGGAGCCUUAUAAAUAGCUCUUUGUGGGUUUGUUUUUGAUGUGAAGUACGGGAGAGAGAGAGAGAGUCUCUUAGGUUGCCGUACCAGAGAGAGAAAAAGAGAGAGAGAGUUAUUUAAUUAUGCUUUGAGUGCACCUAGUGCACGGGUGCAUGUGAAGGAUUGUCUUCUUUAUGGGUUUAUAGAAGACGAGAGAAGGGUAGAAGAGAUUCAGAAAGAGGGUUCGGGUUGUAGCUACUUUGUGGAGAAGAGGAGUCGGGUAUAAUCUUCUCUUAUUUAAUGAAUCUUAUUUUACCUGCAUAUUUUUCUCUUUUAUGAUUGUAUCAGCUUUUGUUGAGAAGACGGGUUUAUGGUAAAAACCCGAUUUGACGUUUCCGUUGCGGAAUCCCAACAAUCGAUACAGGAUCCACAGCAGUCGGUAUCAGAGCGGGUUGCGGAUUCACGA